rnacentral:rRNA from 1 species
GAUGAACGCUGACAGCAUGCUUAACACAUGCAAGUCGACUGUGGCGGACGGGUGAGUAACGCGUAAAGAACUUGCCUCACAGCUAGGGACAACAUUUGGAAACGAAUGCUAAUACCUGAUAUUGUGUGAGAGCUUUGCGUCCCAUUAGCUAGUUGGAGAGGUAACGGCUCACCAAGGCGAUGAUGGGUAGCCGGCCUGGGAGGGUGAUCGGCCACAAGGGGAUAGAGAAACGGCCAGUAGGGAAACGGGGGGAAGGAGUGAGGAAGAGAGGAGAAAGGACCAAAGUCUGAAGCAGGAAUUCGGAGGGCAAGAUGAAGUUUUCGGAAAGAAAAGGGAUUUCAGUUGGGAAGCGGUACCAACACAAGAAGUGACGGCUAAAUACGUGCCAGCAGCCGCGGUAAUAC